ensembl:lncRNA
UUAAACAGUUAAUUCAUUUAUAAAGCAUUACUAAACAUUAAUAAGAAUUUUAUAAAUGCAGCUAUACAUGCUUAAUGCUUGAUUUAUAAGCCUAUCCAUAAGUAUGAAAUUAAAGUAUGAAAAUACAAUUAUUAAACACAUUAUAGAUAUGCUUUUAAAUCAAGAAUAAAGCAUUUAUAGCUGUAUUUAUAAACUGCUUAUUAAUGUCUAUUAAUGUUUAUAAAUGAUGAAUUAACUGUUUACUAAUGUUUAACUAAUGAUUAAUAGCGUGCCGUUAUUAUAAAGUGUUACCCAUUUUAAAACUUUUGUAUAGCUUCUGGUGUUUUAAGGUCAAUUCUGUUCUUCCAGAUGCCUCUGUCUAAUAAAGAGAGGCAGAGACGGUUCAGAGCCAGGAUAAACACAGAUGCAGAAGCUAGGGCUGAGUAUCUUGCAGAAAAGAGAGCAAAGUAUUAUGGUGAUGAUUCAGUGGAAUAAUAAUGUGUCAGUAACAAGCAAACUUGAAAUAUUAAUCGAAAUAGGUUCACACUCAUUUGCAAUAAGCCUAAAUGUUUUAGGUGUUGGAAAGAAAAAUUAUACUGAUGAUGGUUUUUAUGGUAAUCCUGAAAAAUAUUGCAGAAUGUCAUUCCAUCUAACAAUGACACGGGCAGUUCAUUUAACCCAUAUUUGUGUGUUAGAUUACACAAUUCAGUUUUUUUGUUGAGUUAAUGAUAAAAUAAGUCUUAUUUACUUUAUUGGAAAACAUUUUUAAACAUUUUCCAGGGUUUUUUUUUUAUUUGGUUCUGAAUUUUGAGUUAGCAGCAGCCAAAAAUGAGCCCGUGUCUAUAUGAAAUCCCAAAUUGAUUAUAUUAAUUGUGAUUAAAAUGUAGUUUUCUGAGCACUAAUUGUUUGUUGAGCUCCAAAUAUGGAGAUCAGUACAUUUUUUAUAUGCCAACAAUGGUAGAAAUGUAAUUAAUUUAAAAAUUCAUUACGUUACCCAGGAAUGACAUUUUCAUGGGGAAAAAGAUCUGAUUCACCCAAAAAAAUGGUUAAUUACAUUCUUGAAAUGUGUAAAUAUCAUUGCAUUACAUACACAACACUCUAAUAAGUAUAGAAAGUCCUAAAAUUUACAUUUUUUGCCAGUUUUAUUUUUUUUCACAUUUUAAAUCCUUAUCCGUCAUUCACCCACAUACAAAAUCCCGAUACAAAAUAAAUGCACUUAGCCCCUGAUUAUUACACACUAAACCUAUAAUAAUUACCAACACAAUCUAAAUACAGACAAUAUAACAUACACACUUCAUAAAUCACUUUACAUAAUUUUUUUACAAAGUAUUUAAAAAAUGUGAAAAUGUGUAUGCUUGUGCGUACACAGGUGUAAAUGUUCGAAAGUUCAAAUGUGCAUAGUUCAUCCCUGUAGCUGAGUAAAGUUAAAGGGAUACUCCACCCCAAAAUGAAAUUUUUGUCAUUAAUCACUUACCCCCAUGUCGUUCCAAACCCUUGAAAGCUUUGUUAGUCUUCGGAACACAAAUUAAGAUAUUUUGGAUGAAAACCGGGAGGCGUGUGACGGUCCCACAGACUGGCAAGUAAAAUACACUGUCAAGGUCCAGAAAAGUAUGAAAAGCAUUGUCAGAAUAGUCCAUCUGCAAUCAGUGAUUCAACCGUAACGUUAUGAAGCGACGAGAAUACUUUUUGUAUGCAAAGAACCCUGGACCUUGACAGUGUAUUUUACUUGGUUUUCAUCCAAAAUAUCUUAAAUUGUGUUCCGAAGGUGAAUGAAGCUUUUAGGGAUUUGGAACGACAUGGGGGUAAGUGAUUAAUGACAAAAUUUUCAUUUUGUGGUGGAGUAUCCCUUUAAUGUCUAAGUCUAGUCUAAGUCAG